UUUGAUAGCGUCUCUUGGCCUUUCCUUCCGGAGACGAUAAGACACCUCGGCUUCACGCGCCGUUGGAGGGACUGGAUCUCGAUCCUUCUCUCUACCGCCUCCACUAGGGUCUUGAUCAACGGGCAACCAGGACCGCCCAUCGACCACGCUUGCGGACUGCGGCAGGGGUAUCUUGUCUCACCUAUGCUAUUCACUAUCGUCAUCGAUGUCCUCAACUCCAUGCUUCUUCAUGCGGUUGAUCUCGGGCUCCUCCAACGCCUCACGCCUAGGCAUGCCAGUUCUAGCAUCUCGCUCUAUGCGGAUGACAUCAUCAUCUUCUGCCACCCCGAUCGCCACGACAUGACGGCUAUCAGGGAGAUCAUGCACGUUUUCGACAUCGCGUCCGGCCUGCGGACUAACUUCGCCAAAUGCUCCGCCACUCCGAUCCGUUGCACCGAUGAGCAUGCGGCCCUUAUCGCCGAUGAAAUGCACUGCCCCGUGACGCAGUUCCCGAAGGAAAUAUGCCCUAGAGGCAAUAAUAAAGUUAUUAUUUAUUUCCUUAUUUCAUGA
rnacentral:rRNA from 1 species